CUUGAAAGAAGAAAAAGAAAAGAAAAAAGAAAAGAGAAUAUCAAAAUCAAAAGCACUGGUAUUUCGAUCAGACGGAGGCGAGCAAUUCAAUCUCUCUUUUCCUCGUUUUGGAUCUUCGAUUGGAGGAAUCGAAUCGAAGAAGAAGCUCGAUCUUACAGGUCAAGUCAUAUUUAUGUGUAUUUAUGUGUUUGACACACAAAAGAAUCCAAGAGCUGACUCUCUUUUGCAUGCUGAGAUCAAUCCAAGGCCAUAACAAUGCCAAGAACAACCACCUAGUGACUUCUCUAUUACUCAGUUCCGGUUUUUGGAGCGACUACUUGUCGUCCAUGGGCACUGGUGCUAUAAGAGGAUUACCCCAAUGUGAUUUUAUUGUGAGUAGGUGACUCAUGAGCACCUACAAUGACUGGUAUUCCAAAUUCCGAACUCAACCUGAUGCGGCCAGCAUUUUGGAUAUU